GACAGAGGGUGCAAACGUUGUUCGGAAUUACUGGGCAUAAAGCGCACGUAGGUGGUCCGCUAAGUCGCGUGUGAAAUCCCCCGGCUCAACCGGGGAAAUGCGCGUGAUACUGGCGGGCUUGAGAUCGGGAGGGGUGAAUGGAACUCCAGGUGGAGCGGUGAAAUGCGUAGAUAUCAGGAGGAAUACCGGUGGCGAAAGCGACUCUCUGGACGGCAACUGACGCUGAGGCACGAAAGCGUGGGGAGCAAACAGG
rnacentral:rRNA from 1 species